GCGGCGUGCUUAACACAUGCAAGUCGAGCGGAGAUUGCAUUUAUGUAAUCUUAGCGGCGGACGGGUGAGUAACGCGUAGGCAACCUGCCUUGCACAGAGGGAUAACACCGGGAAACUGGUGCUAAUACCACAUGAUAUCAUAACAAGGCAUCUUGAAAUGAUCAAAGGAUAAAUCCGGUGCAAGAUGGGCCUGCGUCCGAUUAGUUAGUUGGUGAGGUAACGGCUCACCAAGGCGACGAUCGGUAGCCGAACUGAGAGGUUGAUCGGCCACAUUGGGACUGAGACACGGCCCAGACUCCUACGGGAGGCAGCAGUGGGGAAUAUUGCGCAAUGGGGGGAACCCUGACGCAGCAACGCCGCGUGAAGGAAGAAGGCCUUCGGGUUGUAAACUUUUUUGAUUGGGGAAGAAAAAAAUGACGGUACCCAAGGAACAAGCCACGGCUAACUACGUGCCAGCAGCCGCGGUAAUACGUAGGUGGCGAGCGUUGUCCGGAAUUACUGGGUGUAAAGGGCGUGUAGGCGGGAUUGUAAGUCAGAUGUGAAAUUCCAGGGCUUAACUCUGGAGGUGCAUCUGAAACUAUAAUUCUUGAGUGCUGGAGAGGAAAGCGGAAUUCCUAGUGUAGCGGUGAAAUGCGUAGAUAUUAGGAAGAACACCAGUGGCGAAGGCGGCUUUCUGGACAGUAACUGACGCUGAGGCGCGAAAGCGUGGGGAGCAAACAGGACUAGAUACCCUGGUAGUCCACGCUGUAAACGAUGGAUACUAGGUGUAGGAGGUAUCGACCCCUUCUGUGCCGGAGUUAACACAAUAAGUAUCCCACCUGGGGAGUACGGCCGCAAGGCUGAAACUCAAAGGAAUUGACGGGGGCCCGCACAAGCAGUGGAGUAUGUGGUUUAAUUCGAAGCAACGCGAAGAACCUUACCAGGGCUUGACAUCCCUCGGAUAACAUAGAGAUAUGUUAGUCCUUCGGGACGAGGAGACAGGUGGUGCAUGGUUGUCGUCAGCUCGUGUCGUGAGAUGUUGGGUUAAGUCCCGCAACGAGCGCAACCCCUAUUGUUAGUUGCCAUCAUUAAGUUGGGCACUCUAACGAGACUGCCGGUGACAAAUCGGAGGAAGGUGGGGACGACGUCAAAUCAUCAUGCCCCUUAUGUCCUGGGCUACACACGUACUACAAUGGUCACUACAAAGGGAAGCAAUACCGCAAGGAGGAGCAAAUCCCCAAAGGUGACCUCAGUUCGGAUUGUGGGCUGAAACCCGCCCACAUGAAGUCGGAAUUGCUAGUAAUGGCAGGUCAGCAUACUGUCGUGAAUACGUUCCCGGGCCUUGUACACACCGCCCGUCACACCAUGAGAGUUUGCAACACCCGAAGUC
rnacentral:rRNA from 1 species